GGAUGCGAUCAUACCAGCACUAACGCACCGAAUCCCAUCAAAACUUCGAAGUUAAAUGUGCUUGGGCGAGAAUAGUACUAGGAUGGGUGAACCAAUGGGAAGUUCUCGUUUUGCAUCCC